rnacentral:rRNA from 1 species
UAGGGAAUAUUAGAAAUGGACGAAAGUCUGAUCUAGCAACACCGCGUGUGCGAAGAAGGCCUUCGGGUUGUAAAGCACUUUUUGGAAGGAUUAGGAAGGAAUGUACUUCCAGAAUAAGUCUCGGCUAACUACGUGCCAGCAGCCGCGGUAACACGUAGGAGGCAAACGUUAUCCGGAUUUACUGGGCGUAAAGCGCGUGUAGGUGGUUCUGUAAGUAGGGCGUGAAAGCUCCUGGCUCAACUGGGAGAGGCCGUUCUAAACUGCAGAGCUAGAGGAUGGUAGAGGGAGGUGGAAUUCCGGGUGUAGCGGUGGAAUGCGCAGAUAUCCGGAGGAACACCAGUGGCGAAAGCGGCCUCCUGGACCAUUCCUGACACUCAGACGCGAAAGCUAGGUAGCAAC